UGGGGAAUCUUGCACAAUGGGCGAAAGCCUGAUGCAGCAACGCCGCGUGCGGGAAGAAGGCCCUCGGGUUGUAAACCGCUUUCAGAAGGAACGAAACUGACGGUACUUUCAGAAGAAGGUGCGGCCAACUACGUGCCAGCAGCCGCGGUGACACGUAGGCACCAAGCGUUGUCCGGAUUUAUUGGGCGUAAAGAGCUCGUAGGCGGUUCAGUAAGUCGGGUGUGAAAACUUUGGGCUUAACCCAAAGCGUGCAUCCGAUACUGCUGUGACUUGAGUACGGUAGAGGAGCGGGGAAUUCCUAGUGUAGCGGUGAAAUGCGCAGAUAUUAGGAGGAACACCGGUGGCGAAGGCGCCGCUCUGGGCCGAAACUGACGCUGAGGAGCGAAAGCAUGGGUAGCAAACAGGAUUAGAUACCCCGGUAGUCCCUGAGCGGGCUGGCAAGGCGCAU
rnacentral:rRNA from 1 species